AACAGGCUAAAAAAUAUGUGCUUCUACUGUUUUAAUGUACUUCAUUGUAAACUUAGAAAAAUUAACAGGCCACCAACUCCAGAUUUUCCGGACAAAAAAUUUCCUCUUUUUGUGACUUGGAAAAAAGAAAAGCGAGGUAGACUUGAAUUGAGAGGUUGCAUAGGAACUUUUUCGGCGAGAAGCCUGCAUACUGGCUUAAAAGAAUAUACAAUAAACAGCGCCUUCAAAGAUUCUCGUUUUGCGCCCAUUCAAUUACGUGAAUUUAAACGGCUUCACUGCACUGUUUCAAUACUUGUAGAUUUCGAAACCGCAAAACACCCGGAAGAUUGGAUCAUUGGCGUCCAUGGAGUUCAAAUUUCUUUUUCAGACGCUGGCGUUAAACGCACUGCAACGUACUUGCCAGAAGUUCCUAAGGAGCAAAGCUGGACUCACAAGGAAACGCUUCAGUCUCUAAUAAGGAAAUCCGGAUUCAAAGGUAGUCUCCGGGAGGACACGUGGAAGACCGUUAAAGUAACGAGAUACCGA